GAUGAACGCUAGCGGCAGGCUUAACACAUGCAAGUCGAGGGGCAGCACGGGUAGCAAUAUCUGGUGGCGACCGGCGCAAGGGUGCGUAACGCGUGAGCAACAUGCCCGUAUCAGGGGGAUAAUCCAGGGAAACUUGGUCUAAUACCCCAUAGCAAUUAAAGGAGGCAUCUUUUUUAAUUAAAGCUUUGGUGGAUACGGAUUGGCUCGCGUGACAUUAGCUAGAUGGUAAGGUAACGGCUUACCAUGGCUACGAUGUCUAGGGGUUCUGAGAGGAAGAUCCCCCACACUGGAACUGAGACACGGUCCAGACUCCUACGGGAGGCAGCAGUGAGGAAUAUUGGACAAUGGAUGGAAAUCUGAUCCAGCCAUGCCGCGUGCAGGAAGACGGCCCUAUGGGUUGUAAACUGCUUUUGAUGGGAGCAAUAAGGUCUAUGCGUAGACUGAUGAGAGUACCAUACGAAUAAGCAUCGGCUAACUCCGU
rnacentral:rRNA from 1 species